rnacentral:rRNA from 1 species
GGAUUGAACGCUGGCGGCAUGCCUAACACAUGCAAGUCGAACGGGAGUAGCAAUACUCUAGUGGCGGACGGGUGAGGAAUACGUAGGAAUUUGCCCUUAAGUGGGGGAUAACCCGGGGAAACCCGGAUUAAUACCGCAUGACCUCGAAAGAGCAAAGUGGGGGAUCGCAAGACCUCACGCUUUUGGAGAAGCCUACGUCGGAUUAGCUAGUUGGUGAGGUAUAGGCGUCACCAACGGACGACGAUCCGUAACCUAGGUCCGACGAGGAGUGAUCAGUCACACCGGAACCGUAGAGACACGGUCCGGACGUCCUACCGGGACGGGCGAGCGAGU